rnacentral:lncRNA from 1 species
CUUCAUUGUCCAUUGGAAUAAAGGGUGGUGUAUAUAUGAAUAAAAAGGGAACAUUAUAGAACAGGUCAUAAGAAAAAAGAGAUGGCUAUGAACAGGCAUCAAUUGAGGGAAACGGGCGUGAAUGUGAUGAGUGGUUUUCUUUUGUUUACUUUCAUAAUGAAGUGUUUGAAUGGUUAUGAAAAGUCUUUAAAGUUAGGGUUGGGACAGACCCUAAAAUCCUCGUAAAGUGAAAGCAAACAUAGGAAAAAGAUAACUCAACAUAAGUCAUUGUUGAUUGCUGGAGAUUGGAGGAGAGACUGUGUAGGUAAGCAUCAUAACACGGGCAUCGAUGGUUUGAUAAGUUUACAUUGCCCAACCCAAUAAGCAAUGCCACCAUUUUGUUUCUUGUGCCAUUACCCCAUUAUAGGGAUGCUUCCUCCGGGUUGCGUCUUACUUUUUAGUACUAGUAUUCCUCCACAUCUUUAUCCUAUAAUAAUCAUCUGUCCCACACUCUACAUACUUUACAAAUUAUCCAAGCUAAGGCUUUUUAUCACACCAAUCCAAUAACAUUAGACUUUAUUAUCCCCUCUCUCAUCUCUCUAAUUCAAUUUACAAAUAGUAGUAAGUCAAAUAAAACUAAAAGUACUUCAUGAGUCUCAAAAUGAAUGUGAAAAUUGUCAUUUUUAUCAAAUUAUCCUUGAUUGGUU